CUUCUCAGCGAUUGGACAUUUCCUCUCGGAAGAAAAUUGUAAACCCUAGCAGAGCUCCAGCCGUGCUCCCGAUUCGAACCUCCCCUGAGAGCUCUUCAACACCUUCGUGCCAUAGCCCAGCUCCCAAGCCAUGAUUGUUCUUCUGCUGCCCGUAAUUGUUUGAUGUCUACCUAGUAUUUGGCAUGUCGUUGAGGUGAUAGCAAGUUGCUUGGAUGUAUCCGACUCAUCCACAAUAAUCACAAUAAGGACGUCCUCCCCUGUGUGGUAGUCACAAGCUCCCACCAGGAAAUUGUGGUAAUCACAAUUUGGCAUGUCGUUGAGAAGAAAGCCAAGGAAUGGGGAGAGCCCAAGGUUCCUUCUGCUAAGCAGGAGCUUGCUGAGAUGAUAUUCCAAUCUGUGCUGUAAAAAUUUAUCAUAAUGGAAUAUAUCAGGAGUUAUCAUCCAUUUUAUUUUCUUCCGUUCUUGUUAGGUAGGAGUAGUAAGUACAUCUUAAGAGAGAGGCCCAAUAAAGGAGAUGAACCGAAUGGAUGAGUUCCAACCGAGGCUUUAAUCCGAUCUUCCUUGAAAUGAUAUGUCCUAUAACAACAGAUCUUUCUGUAUCUGUUUUUGACCAUAAUGGAAUACAUAUCAAACUUAAGUCUUC